GCCUCGUUAACGCAGUCGGUAGCUCGUCAGUAUUGUAACCUAAAGGUCGUGAGUUCAAUCCUCACACGGAGCA